rnacentral:rRNA from 1 species
CCUACGGGUGGCUGCAGUAAGGAAUAUUGGUCAAUGGACGAAAGUCUGAACCAGCCAUCCCGCGUGCAGGAUGAAAGCCCUAUGGGUUGUAAACUGCUUUUAGCAGAGAAGAAAAGCUUUCAUUAAUGAGAGUCUGACGGUAUCUGCAGAAUAAGCACCGGCUAACUCCGUGCCAGCAGCCGCGGUAAUACGGAGGGUGCGAGCGUUAUCCGGAUUAAAGGGUGUUAAGGGGUACUAAUAAGGAGUAUUUGAAAUCUUGUCGCUUAACGAUAAAAUUGCCAAGGAUACUGGUACUCUUGAAUUGGGUUGAGGUUAGCGGAAUGUGACAUGGAGCGGUGAAAUGCAUAGAUAUGUCAUGGAACACCAAUUGCGAAGGCAGCUAACUGGGCCUUGAUUGACGCUGAGGCACGAAAGCGUGGGUAGCGAACAGGAUUAGAUACCCGAGUAGUC